GCCACUACCCCAGCCACUACUGCCACCCAGGGUAUUGAAUUUAUUUGUCACACUUCUGCAAACUUGGAAAAGCUUUAUAGUUUGUUUUCAGUGCAAGUCACUGAAAUACAGGACUGUUGCAAGAUGCAUAUAGAGAAUGCAGGGAUGAUGAUGAAUCAAUUUUUUGUUUUAAACAACGCUUUUAGCCAUUAUGCAAUCAUUUUCCAUUAUGUUUAGUUGAUUGUUUUUAAUUAACUUCUUAAUCCUGCUAUAGGGCUAUACAAUGGAUGCAGAUGAUUUCAGGUUUUUCAAGGUGAAAUAUUCAUAUCCAUAACAGGGAAGCCAAUCUUUUCUCUUGCAAACGAAAUACUGUGACUUCAUAUAUGUGCAAGACAGCAAACAUGCAUAAAUCCAAUUGAUGAGUUAUCCCAUCAACUGACUGAGUAGAACAAACACUCUGGAUGGUUCAUAUCUGAGGGGCUGCAGUAUGAAAAGAAAUACCUAGUCAUACAAUUAUAUACUUCAGUGCACAGAAGACGAGAGAAGUAGAAACUAUUCAGACUGGAACGGCACUGCUAACAGAUAUACAGUUCUACGUUUUAGCACAACCUUUGGCAAGGCUGGCAUGGCACUGAGAAGAGUUGGGUUGCCUUCUGCUCAGUGAGGUAACCAGAUUUCAUCCAGAGAUCCACAGGAGCAAAGGAAUCUUUUUUUCCAAUCCAAUAUUAUGAAGUGGGGUUGGCUGGGUUGGAAGAGAAUGCAAAAGCAAUCAGUGCUAAAUGCCAGAAUUUAGAAUGCAAGACUGAGAGGUUGAGAGGAAGGCAUCAGUCAUUCAUCAUACAGACUAGGUAGCAGGGCAAUAAUAUUAGGCAGUCCUC